rnacentral:lncRNA from 1 species
CACAAAUACGGAAAUUAUCAAUUUUUUCGUGGUUCUAAAACUAUGAAGGAAAACAAUUUUGAAUUACAAAUUUACAUCGGUAAAGAAUUACAACUGAAACUUCAAAUAAUUAAGAAAUUCCCAAUGUAUUAAUCAGCAAAUUUUAAGAAAAAUCAAAAUUUUCUAUGAUCUUGUUCUCCAGUGUCCAUCAAUUUGGAGAGAUGCAUGCUGGUAGUCCAUCUUCGAGUUCUGUAGCCAAGCGAACCAGACGACAGUGGGAAAUAUUUUAUAGAAAUUGGCACAAUGAGGUGAAGAAGAAGAAGAAGAAACUGGCCGGAGAAAGUUCUGGUAAUGGCGUUAGAGAUAAGGGUGUGAUCCUUGGUGUGGG